rnacentral:rRNA from 1 species
GAUGAACGCUAGCGGGAGGCUUAACACAUGCAAGUCGAGGGGCAUCACGAGGUAGCAAUACUUUGGUGGCGACCGGCGCACGGGUGAGUAACGCGUAUGCAACCUACCCUGUACAGGGGGAUAGCCCGGAGAAAUUCGGAUUAAUACCCCAUAAAGAUAUCGAGAGGCAUCUUUUGAUAUUUAAAGUUUCGACGGCACGGGAUGGGCAUGCGUAACAUUAGCUAGUUGGUAGGGUAACGGCCUACCAAGGCGACGAUGUUUAGGGGUCCUGUGAGGGUGAUCCCCCACACUGGUACUGAGACACGGACCAGACACCUACGGGAGGCAGCAGUGAGGAAUAUUGGUCAAUGGGCGUAAGCCUGAACCAGCCAUCCCGCGUGAAGGAAGAAGGCGCUAUGCGUUGUAAACUUCUUUUCCAGAGGAAUAAAAUUUUGUACGAGUACGGAACUGAAGGUACUCUGGGAAUAAGCAUCGGCUAACUCCGUGCCAGCAGCCGCCGUAAAAC